ensembl:snRNA U7 U7 small nuclear RNA
UAGUGUUCCAGCUCUUUUAGAAUCUGUCUACCAGGCUUUCUGGUUUUUACAGGAAGCUCAC